GGGUGCAUGGCUCAAGUGGUGGAGCAUUUGCUUAGCAAACAUAAAGCUCUGAGUUCAAACCCAAGUACAGCCA
rfam:Dipodomys ordii contig_22572, whole genome shotgun sequence.